UAUCUCCUAACAGUAUUUUACAGAUUUAUGGUUCCAGCAAUUCACUCAUGCAUUAGAGAAUUGAUGGAUGAUUUAGAAUAAUAGAAUGGUGAAGAAUUAUGUUGUUAAUGUAACAAAAUUCUGUCCAAAUUGUGUGUAGUUGUGUGGUUUUUGUAUCUUCAACUAAUGCCCAAAUGUCAAGCAUUUAUAGUGCAUUAUAUGACUCUUCACAUGAGAGAAAGCACCUCUUUAACUUGAAUCAAUGCCAUGAUUCAUUAAGCACCCUUUUGCCAAAGGUUAUAACCAUAUAUACUUCAAUCAAUGUCAUGGUUCAUUAUUAAUAAUAAAUAAUAAUGUUCCAAUGUAUAUGAAUGGUUCCCAUGAAGAGUUACAACUUUUGGUUCUAAAGUGAUUCUAUUAUUUUGGAAAUCACCAACAACAUUUCUCCUUCUCCCAACAUCUCUAUGUGAACAGAUUGCUGGAGGAGUGCUCAAAAUGGAAAGAAGCAAAACAAAUUACAACUUAUGCAUCUUCAUGGCAGAGCCAAGAUUGCUGGAGGAGUGCUCAAAAUGGAAAGAAGCAAAACAAAUUACAACUUAUGCAUCUUCAUGGCAGAGCCAAGGUGAAAAUUCUGAGAAGGUUGAAGGAAGGUGCACCACAAGGGAGUGAGUGAGGCAUUGAUUUGGCAUUUAGCAGCUAAGUCUUCUCUAUGGAAAAUAAUUUGUUGAAGUAUGAUUUGAUUAUAAAUAUUUUAUCAGAUUCUUAAUGUAUUAUCGUAGAACUAAUUGGUGAAUAUAUGACUUUUGCUUACUUAUAUGCAACAUGUGAAAUGGUUGA